UCAAAGACUAAACUGUUAAGUUGUAAAAAGAAGUAAAUAAAGAAAAACCGAAAAUUUCGGUUUUAUCCCACCGCCUCCCACGCACUCUCUGUUUCUUCGAGAAACAGAGAGGAGCGGUGGGGCAUGAGGAGUGAAGAAAAGAAGAAGAAGAGGGAAAAGAAGAGAGGAGGAAGGAGAGAGGAAGAAGAGGGAGAAGAGAAGAAGAAGAAGAAGAGGAGGUGGCUGCAGCGAGGAGCUGUGGGGCGUGGGGAGAAGAAGAGAGGAAGAAGAGGGAGAAGAGAAGAAGAAGAAGAAGAAGAAGAAGAAGAAGAAGAAGAAGAAGAAGAAGAAGAAGAAGAAGAAGAAGAAGAAGAGAGGAGAAUAGCUGCGGCAAGGCUGCAGCGAGGAGGUGUGUGGCUUUGGGGAGGAAAAGGGAAGAGGAGAAGAAGAGAAGGAGAAGAAGAGGGAAAAGAGAGGCAGCUGCAGUAGCCAGGGCUGCAGCACCUCUGUUUCCCGCAGGUGGAAAUAGAGGAGAGGAUGUGUGGGGCGUUGAGGAUGAAAAGGGAAGAAGAAGAAGAGGAAGAGAAAGAGGUGUGAUACCUCUGUUUCCUGCAGAGGAAACAGAGGAGAGGGUGUGUGUGACGCCGGGGAAGAAGGGGCUGCAGCUGCGGCGAUGGCAGCUGCAGCUGGAAGAGAAGAAGAAGAGGAAGAUGAGCAGGGGAGGAGGGAGAGGUUGCGGCCGUGGCUGCGGCCGCGACUGCAGCAGUUGCAGCGGGGAGAGAAGAAGAAGAAAGGAAGGAGAAGGAAGAGGAGAAGGGAAAGAAGUAGCUGCGGCUGCGGUUGUAGCAGCUGCAGCUAUGGCAGGGAAAGAGGAAGAGAAAAAGGAAAGGAAGAAGAAGAGAAAGGGAAGGAGAGGAAGAAGAGAGGAAGAGGAGAAGGGGCUGCGGCUGCGGUGAUGGCAGCUGCAGCUGUGGCUGGGAAAGAAGAGAAGGAAAGGAAGAAGAAGAGAAAGGGAAGGAGAGGAAGAAGAGAGGAAGAGGAGAAGGGGUGGCAGCUGCGGCAGUGGCAGCUGCAGUUGGAAGAGAAGUAGGAGAGGAAAUAGAGUAGCAGAGGAAGAAGAGGCUGCGGUUGUGGUGGCUGCGGCCAUGGCUGCGACUGCGACUGCGGCAGUUGCAGCUGGGAAAGAAAGGAAAGGAAAGGGGGAAAAAGGGGCUGCGGACGGGAUUGCGGUCGCAGCGGCAGCGACUGCGUAUGCAGCAGUUAUGUCUGCGAGAGAAGGGAGGAAGGAAGGUAGUGCGGUGGAAGGGGCUGCGAUUGUGGCAGCGGCAGCGGCGGCGGUUGUGGCAGCUGCGUUUGGGAAAGAAAAAGAAGGAAUGAGAGUAAGAGAGAGUAUGUGACUAUGCCUUGAUGUUCGACACGUGGUGUAGUUGCGAAGAAAGGAAGAAAACGGGAGCACAAAACGAAACAGAGAGAGGACACGGAGAAAAAGUAGAAGGAUUUGGGCUGGCACCUUCUUUGGAUCUUCGGAUCGAAAUCAUUGAAAGGUCAGCUUGUCACUCUUCGAGAUGUUUGAUUUGGGCUGAGGCAGUGGAUAGCUAUUCAGAAUUAUGGGCAAGUCCUAUUGGUUGUUAUGCUAUUGUUGUAUAAGCAUAUUUUGUAUGUAAUGAAUUGUUCUGAUGAUCGAAAUGGAUAUACUGUGUAAAAGUGUUAGAAGAUCUCUCUUAUUUGGAAUUUCGGAAUGUUAAGUCUAAUUUAUGACGAUAUGAACUUGUGGUGAAUAGUUGGAGUUCUGAUUGUAUAAUUUAUUUAGCUUGUGGAUUUAUAAAUGUUGUUCAUGUUUGUCAA